UACAGUCAAACCAUGUUGAAAACACCAGUUCUCAUUUGAUCACUGAAGUUAAGCAGUGUCAAGCCUGGUCAAUAUUUAGAUGAGUGACUAUCUGGGUACUCCAGGCAGUU